ACACAAAGGCUUCCGCGAAUUCC
rnacentral:siRNA from 1 species